CGAACUUAUUGGAUAUGAAACCGCUGUCUUUAUCGCGAAGUUGCAGGCUCAUACAAACAGUCACCCAAAUCACCAAACACAGAACACACAGUUGAGAGCCGAGCGGCGCUAACAUAGGGGAGAACCGUGAAUGAGACAAACAAAAAGUUUGUUUUCUACAAAGUUCACCUGACAAGGUAGCUGUCGUGCUGCGAAAAGUCAUGUUCCAACCAACCUCGUCUCCAGGAUCUUCUGGGUAAUCUUCAAUGUGAAAUCUAGGCCCCUUUAACGGAGGCUGCCCAUUUCCACAGGGGCGAACCGUGAAUGAGACAAACAAGAAGUUUGUUUUCUACAAAGUUCACCUGACAAGGUAGCUGUCGUGCUGCGAAAAGUCAUGUUCCAUCCAACCUCGUCUCCAGGAUCUUCUGGGUAAUCUUCAAUGUGAAAUCUAGGCCCCUUUAACGGAGGCUGCCCAUUUCCACAGGUAGACAGACACUAAAGUAUUUACCGAAUCUAAUAAGGCCGACACAUUGGUGAAAUGUGCAUAAAAUCACACACAUGGAAUCUGACAAAGAUGGGCCGUAUUAUCACUUCCAUUCUAAAAUUUGAGCGUAUUUACGCCACCCGUAUUACUCCCGACUGAAUUAUUCCGGCAAACUGGCAACUUUGAAAAAGCAAAUGAAUUAUUAGGAGGAAAAUUAAACAAAAAUGGUCCUAACACAAUUUAACAAUGCAUUUUAGAACACAUAAGACUAAAAAAAGCAAUUUGUUGCUUCUAUCUGAGCCUCGGCAUGUUCUUAGCAUGUUCUUAAAAUUUGGUGAAAUCUCAGCCUGGACGUUUUUAAAAAAAAGGUUCUUUUAAAAAAAGAAUGUAUUGGUAUACGGCUCGUGUUUGACUCCUAAGCAACACAACUAUACAAUGACAGUAUUGUGCCAAAUUUUUGCUCCAUGCUUGGUUUAUGUGAUGGAGCAAAGAAAUAUUUCUCACAAAAUUUUAAGGGGACCCUAACCUAAGAGAUGUGAAAAAAGCACAAAAUUUGCGGGGUCAAACCGUUAAUAUUAGUGGACUAAAACGUCGAAAAUUGAAUAAUAAAUGGCGCACGUAAGCGCAAUUCGCAUGUUCUUAGCAUGUUCUUAAAGUUUGGUGAAAUCUCAGCCUGGACGUUCUCAAUAACAGUUCUUAUAAAAAAGGAAUGUAUUGGUAUACGGCUCGUGUUUGACUCCUAAGCAACACAACUAUACAAUGACAGUAUUGUGCCAAAUUUUUGCUCCAUGCUUGUUUUAUGUGAUGGAGCAAAGAAAUAUUUCUCACACAUUUUUAAGGGGACCCUUACCUAAGAGAUGUGAAAAAAGCACAAAAUUUGCAGGGUCUAACCGUUAAUAUUAGUGGGCUAAAAUGGCGCAAGUAAGCGCAAUUCUUCCUAAACAUAGUGUAUGUUAUAAAUAAAUAAUACUGUAGGUAACAAGUUUUGUUGAGUUUGGAACAAUAACUGUGAUGUUAUUGGGAAGACGGAUCAAUUAAUUUGGCUUUGUUUAGAAAAUAAACUUGUUGUUAAACUUG